GAUGAACGCUGGCUACGGCUUAACACAUGCAAGUCGUGGGGAAACGGCAUUAUGUGCUUGCACAUUCUGGACGUCGACCGGCGCACGGGUGAGUAUCGCGUAUCCAACCUGCCCCUUACUUGGGGAUACCCCGUUGAAAGACGGCCUAAUACCCGAUGUGUUUCAUUGACGGCAUCCGAUAUGAAACAAAGGUUUUCCGGUAAGGGAUGGGGAUGCGUCUGAUUAGCUUGUUGGCGGGGCAACGGCCCACCAAGGCGACGAUCAGUAGGGGUUCUGAGAGGAAGGUCCCCCACAUUGGAACUGAGACACGGUCCAAACUCCUACGGGAGGCAGCAGUGAGGAAUAUUGGUCAAUGGACGCAAGUCUGAACCAGCCAAGUAGCGUGCAGGAUGACGGCCCUAUGGGUUGUAAACUGCUUUUAUGUGGGAAUAAAGUGGCGCACGUGUGCGCCAUUGCAUGUACCUCAUGAAUAAGGACCGGCUAAUUCCGUGCCAGCAGCCGCGGUAAUACGGAAGGUCCGGGCGUUAUCCGGAUUUAUUGGGUUUAAAGGGAGUGUAGGCGGUCUGUUAAGCGUGUUGUGAAAUUUAGGUGCUCAACAUUUAACUUGCAGCGCGAACUGUCAGACUUGAGUACACGCAGCGCAGGCGGAAUUCAUGGUGUAGCGGUGAAAUGCUUAGAUAUCAUGAGGAACUCCGAUCGCGAAGGCAGCCUGCGGGAGUGUUACUGACGCUAAAGCUCGAAGGUGCGGGUAUCGAACAGG
rnacentral:rRNA from 1 species